GAUGAAGAACGUAGUGAAAUGCGAUAAGUAAUGUGAAUUGCAGAAUUCAGUGAAUCAUCGAAUCUUUGAACGCACAUUGCGCCCCCCAGUAUUCUGGCGGGCAUGCCUGUUCGAGCGUCAUUUCAACCAUCAAGCCCUGCUUGUGUUGGGGUCCUGCGGCUGCCCGCAGGCCCUGAAAACCAGUGGCGGGCUCGCUAGUCACACCGAGCGCAGUAGCACAUCUCGCUCAGGGCGUGCGGCGGGCUCCAGCCGUUAAAGCACCCACCUUUCGCAAGGUUGACCUCGGAUCAGGUAGGAAUACCCGCUGAACUUAAGCAUAUCAAUAGGCGGAGGA
rnacentral:misc_RNA from 1 species